rnacentral:rRNA from 1 species
AGUGAACGCUGGCGGCGUGCUUAACACAUGCAAGUCGAACGGAGUAAAGUAGCUUGCUAUUUUACUUAGUGGCGCACGGGUGAGUAAUGUAUAGCUAACCUGCCCUUUAGUGGGGGACAACAGUUGGAAACGACUGCUAAUACCCCAUACUCCUUCUUAUCAUAAGGUAAGUUGGGAAAGAUUUAUUGCUAAAGGAUGGGGCUUUAUUGUAUCAGCUAGUUGGUGGGGUAAUGGCCUACCAAGGCGAUGACGCAUACCUGGUCUGAGAGGAUGAUCAGGCACACUGGAACUGAGACACGGUCCAGACUCCUACGGGAGGCAGCAGUGGGGAAUAUUGCACAAUGGGGGAAACCCUGAUGCAGCAACGCCGCGUGGAGGAUGACGCAUUUCGGUGUGUAAACUCCUUUUAUAAGGGAAGAUAAUGACGGUACCUUAUGAAUAAGCACCGGCUAACUCCGUGCCAGCAGCCGCGGUAAUACGGAGGGUGCAAGCGUUACUCGGAAUCACUGGGCGUAAAGGAUGCGUAGGCUGGAAAUCAAGUCGAAAGUGAAAUCCAACGGCUCAACCGUUGAACUGCUCUCGAAACUGGUCACCUAGAAUAUGGGAGAGGUAGAUGGAAUUGGUGGUGUAGGGGUAAAAUCCGUAGAUAUCACCAGGAAUACCGAUUGCGAAGGCGAUCUACUGGAACAUUAUUGACGCUGAGGCAUGAAAGCGUGGGGAGCAAACA